rnacentral:lncRNA from 1 species
AAAUAUUUUGAUAUGAGCGUCACUGAUGAGUCUUAUGUAGACGAAACGCGCGUCUGGCGUACUAAAUUAUAAUCCUGGUACCUUUGAUAACUAUUUACACCACUGGGUCGAUAUCACUGCUGGUGGACGUUUCGUCCCCGAGGGUAUCACCAGCCCAGUAGUCAUCACUUUGGUGUUGACAUGAAUAUCAAUAAUGUGGUCAUUUUUUUUUUAUAUAAAUUUCCUGUUAACAAAAGUUUAAAUUUUUCGAAAAACUAAGGAUUUUCUUAUUCCAGGCAUAGAUUUCCUUAGCCGUAUUUGGCACAACGUUUUGGAAUUUUGGAUCCUCAAUGCUCUUCAACUUUGUAAUUGUUUGGCUUUAUAAAUAUUUUGAUAUGAGCGUCACUGAUGAGUCUUAUGUAGACGAAACGCGCGUCUGGCGUACUAAAUUAUAAUCCUGGUACCUUUGAUAACUAUU